rnacentral:rRNA from 1 species
CUGCAGAAGAAGCACCGGCUAACUCCGUGCCAGCAGCCGCGGUAAUACGGAGGGUGCGAGCGUUAAUCGGAAUUACUGGGCGUAAAGCGCAUGCAGGUGGUUUGUUAAGUCAGAUGUGAAAGACCCGGGGCGUCAACCUCGGAAUUGCAUUUUGAAAACUGGCAGACUAGAGUACUGUAGAGGGGGUAGAAUUUCAGGUGUAGCGGUGAAAAUGCGUAGAGAUCUGAAGGAAUACCGGUGGCGAAGGCGGCCCCCUCGGACAGAUACUGACACUCAGAUGCGAAAGCGUGGGGAGCAAACAGGAUUAGAUACCCUGGUAG